AGAUUGAACGCUGGCGGCAUGCUUUACACAUGCAAGUCGAGCGGCAGCGCGGGGGCAACCCUGGCGGCGAGCGGCGAACGGGUGAGUAAUGCAUCGGAACGUGUCCCGUAGUGGGGGAUAACCCGGCGAAAGCCGGACUAAUACCGCAUAUGCUCUACGGAGGAAAGGGGGGGACCCGCAAGGGCCUCCCGCUAUGGGAGCGGCCGAUGUCCGAUUAGCUUGUUGGUGGGUAAUGGCUUACCAAGGCGACGAUCGGUAGCUGGUCUGAGAGGAUGAUCAGCCACACUGGGACUGAGACACGGCCCAGACUCCUACGGGAGGCAGCAGUGGGAAUUUGGACAAUGGGGGCAACCCUGAUCCAGCCAUGCCGCGUGCGGGAAGAAGGGCCUUCGGGUUACGUAAACCGGUACUUUUGUACCGGUAAAGAAACGGACAACCUCCUAAGUACGGGU
rnacentral:rRNA from 1 species